rnacentral:lncRNA from 1 species
UCACUAGAUAGAUGGGGCUUGCCCACAAACUUGGUCCAUGGCGUUGUUUACUUCGAACGACCAACUCACAGUAAUCUCAGAACUUCUCUUGGCAUUUUUUGGGGGAAAAUGUUUGUUUUUCGCUAACGUUUGUCAUCAUGCCUGUGUGGUGUUCUGUCUGGCUGUGCUAAUUACAAACAAGCGAAAAAAAGUAUUUAUCUUUCACCGUUCUACCUACCAGAAAUUUACCCUGAUGCUGCCAGUGGUUUCCGGCUAUCAAGAAUGAUGCUUACGGUGACGAAAGAUUAUCAGAGGUAUUUUGAGGUUGAACGGAUGGGGAAUCCAUUUAGAUGACAGCUGAGAAGUGAUACAAUACCAUAUUUUUCUCCCUUCACAACAACACGGAAGAUUCUCGAUUAGAGGUGGUAUAUAAUCUGAUUCCACCAGCAUGUUUCCAAUUCCUAGCCCUGCACAAGAUGAAGAUAUGCAGGUGACAUUUCCACCUGGAUGACAGCACAUAAUCAGCAAGACGGAGAUUCUCUUCAUCCGAGGGAAUGCCUACCCAUUCUCAGAUGUUAAAUAAUCCAAGAUGAUCACAUGUCAUUUACAUUCCAGCUCCAGAUUUGACUACUUAAACUCACACCCUGCUGAAAUCCCCGCAUUCUCAGAUUCCCCACUGUUAUUAAUCUCUAUAUUGUAAUCAAUAAAGUGUUUCAAAAUGCUGUACUUUUAUUAACAUAUAUGCUCACAUCAUUCCUGAGAGAGAAGGGGUGUAAUAUCUCCAGAUGGGCAUGUGGUACCCUUCCUCACCCAUGCCAACAAGAUGUUACUUCUUGUGGGGUCUUCGCCUUAAAAUUUCCUGAAUGUGUUCUGAAGGAGGAGUUGAUUGUCUUUUCAAAUACAAACAAAGAUGUUAACACC